GGAGAAUCUUUCGGGCGUUUCUGGAUACGUAUCAUCAACAUGAUGCCUUAACUCCUGGGCUGCUCGCUCUUGCAACCGUUCUAUCUGGUUUCGCUUUACUCCAAGGACAUUUUCUGUGGAUGUAAAAAGAGCAACCCUUGGAGAACAUCACUGGAGAUCAUUAUAUGUACUGCUGUACAAACAUACCUGUUUAAACCGGGAUGGCGUAAGCUUUUCACUAGCAGCAGCCUGUGUAAGAUGGGACACUAUGGCAGUGAGAAUAGUGUUGAGGGACAUGAUUCGAUUACACUGAGCCAUCCCCAGCGUGAACAGUUCAGACCAACAACCCCGAACCAGCGUCACUUGUGUCUCUUGGCUGAAAGAGAAUGUACAUUAAUUAUUUAAUAACUACAGGAAUCAUCCAGAUGAGAGUCCACUUAAAGGCACAAAUGCACCGAACACAUGAAACUGAUAAAGAGUAAAGAUAUUCUUACAUGAUUCUAAUAAAUUAUCCCCCCCAACAGAUUUUUACUCCAGUCUUUUUAAACCAAGGUUUCAUCCCUACAUAAGCUUCGAAAAAAUUUAUACUCUUAGUACAGGUGCUCCUCUACUUACCAAAGAGUUACAUUCCUGAGGCUUGUUCGUAAGUCCAACUGUU